UCUAGUGACUUAAAUUUGAAUUAUUAUUUUAAAACCAACUAGCCAAUCAGUGGGUGUAGAAACAGGUGGCGUGACCAAAGAGAUAAUAAUAAUCAAUAAUCAAUCAUUUGCUCACACGCAACUCGUGCUCAUGAGCCACGUGCGGGGGGACACCCCAGCCUCCUGUAAAAGGAGACUAUUGUAGUUUCUUAGCUUGAUUUUUAAACUGGUGAGCAACCACUCCCUACUUCAAAUCAAGGGUAAUCAUCUAUAACAGUGGGUGGUGUCCUAUACGCAGAGGCUGUAUGACUAAUCUUGAAAAAGCACCGAGAACGUCACGUCACCAUUGUCACAGAGUCAUCAGCACGGUCACGAUGGAUUCUGAAUGAGGCAGCCACAGGCGAACGUAACUCAGCCCCAUCAUCUGGCCGACAAAGGAGAAGCACUCCGAAGCGGGCAGCCCAGCGCGACGAGCUGCUGUCUUCCUGGUUCUUCUCCGCUUCCAGCCACACUGCCCUCUGACCCUCACAGCUGUCAACGGUGCGCUGUGAGCAGCCAUGAUGGCCCGGUGGACACCCCGUCUUCCCAAAUGAUCAUUUUCCAAAUGAUCAUUCAAACAAGAACACUAGUGUCAUAUGACUGUAGUAGCAUAAUAACAUAUACUGUAACAUUAGGCUACCUUGCAGUAAAUAUCACUUUUGCAUGAUAGUGUUACAAUGUUGCAUGAAGAGAACGAUUUUCUUAACAGUUUAAUGUGGUUCAACGUUACAAUGUGUGACAUGGGUUUUCUGCCUGUAUCUUCAUGAAUGAUAUCAUAUUCGUUUAGUUAUUAAAGUCUGUGAGACAA